CGGGGUGUGGCUCAGUUGGUUAGAGUGCACGGUUCGGGACCGUGAGGUCGCUGGUUCAAGUCCAGUCACCCCGA
rnacentral:tRNA from 1 species